rnacentral:rRNA from 1 species
AAUCGUACCCCAAACCGACACAGGUGGUCAGGUAGAGAAUACCAAGGCGCUUGAGAGAACUCGGGUGAAGGAACUAGGCAAAAUGGUGCCGUAACUUCGGGAGAAGGCACGCUGGCAUGUAGGUGAAGUCCCUCGCGGAUGGAGCUGAAGCCAGUCGAAGAUACCAGCUGGCUGCAACUGUUUAAUAAAAACACAGCACUGUGCAAACACGAAAGUGGACGUAUACGGUGUGACGCCUGCCCGGUGCUGGAAGGUUAAUUGAUGGGGUCAGCCGCAAGGCGAAGCUCUUGAUCGAAGCCCCAGUAAACGGCGGCCGUAACUAUAACGGUCCUAAGGUAGCGAAAUUCCUUGUCGGGUAAGUUCCGACCUGCACGAAUGGCGUAAUGAUGGCCAGGCUGUCUCCACCCGAGACUCAGUGAAAUUGAACUCGCUGUGAAGAUGCAGUGUACCCGCGGCAAGACGGAAAGACCCCGUGAACCUUUACUAUAGCUUGACACUGAACAUUGAGCCUUGAUGUGUAGGAUAGGUGGGAGGCUUUGAAGCGUGGACGCCAGUCUGCGUGGAGCCAUCCUUGAAAUACCACCCUUUAAUGUUUGAUGUUCUAACUCUGCCCCGUGAUCCGGGGUGAGGACAGUGUCUGGUGGGUAGUUUGACUGGGGCGGUCUCCUCCCAAAGAGUAACGGAGGAGCACGAA